AAAAAGGCUCUUUUCAGGGCCACCCACAAUUUCAUAAGAGGGCUGU
rnacentral:ncRNA from 1 species